CCUACGGGAGGCAGCAGUAGGGAAUAUUGCUCAAUGGGGGAAACCCUGAAGCAGCAACGCCGCGUGAGUGAUGAAGGUUUUCGGAUUGUAAAGCUCUGUUGUACGAGAAAAACGAGGUUGUGGCUAAUAUCCACAGCAAGUGAUUGUAUCGUAUAAGAAAGGACCGGCUUAACUUCGUGCCAGCAGCCGCCGUAAGACGGGGGGGUCCUAGCGUUGUUCGGAAUUAUUGGGCGUAAAGCGUGUGCAGGUUGUCUGAAAAGUUAGAUGUGAAAUCCUUGGGCUCACCCAAGACGUGCAUUUAAAACUGUCAGACUUGAGUAUGGAAGAGGGUCGUGGAAUUCCAGGUGUAGUGGUGAAAUACGUAGAUAUCUGGAGGAACCCCGGCGCCGAAGGCGGCGACCUGGUCCAAUACCGACACUCAUACACGAAAGCGUGGGGAUCAAACAGGAUUAGAUACCCUGGUAGUCCACGCCGUAAACGAUGGAUACUUGGUGUGGGAGGUAUUGACCCCUCCGUGCCGAAGCUUAACGCGUUAAGUAUCCCGCCUGGGGAGUACGGUCGCAAGAUUAAAACUCAAAGGAAUUGACGG
rnacentral:rRNA from 1 species